GUGCUUGCUUCGGCAGUACAUAUACUAAAAUUAGAACUAUACAGAGAAGAUUAACAUGGCCCCAAUGCAAGGAUGAUACUCAAAUUCAUGAAGAAUUCCAUAUUUUU